AUUGAACGCUGGCGGCAGGCCUAACACAUGCAAGUCGAACGAGUGGCGGACGGGUGAGUAAUGUCUGGGAAACUGCCCGAUGGAGGGGGAUAACUACUGGAAACGGUAGCUAAUACCGCCUACCAUCGGAUGUGCCCAGAUGGGAUUAGCUAGUAGGUGGGGUAACGGCUCACCUAGGCGAAGAUCCCUAGCUGGUCUGAGGGGAUGACCGGCUCCUCUGGAACUGAGACCCGGUCCUGACUCCUACGGGAGGCCGCAGUGGGGAAUAUUGCACAAUGGGCGCAAGCCUGAUGCAGCCAUGCCGGGUGUAUGAAGAAGGCCUUCGGGUUGUAAAGUACUUUCAGCGAGGAGGCGUUACUCGCAGAAGAAGCACCGGCUAACUCCGUGCCAGCAGCCGCGGUAAUUC
rnacentral:rRNA from 1 species